CCUACGGGAGGCAGCAGUGAGGAAUAUUGGUCAAUGGACGAGAGUCUGAACCAGCCAAGUAGCGUGAAGGAUGACUGCCCUAUGGGUUGUAAACUUCUUUUGUGCGGGAGCAAUAAGGGCCACGUGUGGCCCGCUGCGAGUACCGCACGAAUAAGCAUCGGCUAACUCCGUGCCAGCAGCCGCGGUAAUCCGGGGGAUGCGAGCGUUAUCCGGAUUUAUUGGGUUUAAAGGGUUCGUAGGCGGCGCUUCAGGUCAGCGGUGAAAUACCGGGGCUCAACCCCGGGGCUGCCGUUGAAACCGGAGCGCUAGAAUUCCGAUGCCGUCGGAGGAAUGUGUGGUGUAGCGGUGAAAUGCAUAGAUAUCACACAGAACACCGAUUGCGAAGGCAUCUGACGAAGCGGAGAUUGACGCUGAUGCACGAAAGCGUGGGUAUCGAACAGGAUUAGAUACCCGGGUAGUC
rnacentral:rRNA from 1 species